AGAUACAUCACACACACUGUUCCGGUAGGCGCAAAUCACAAGAAGAAUCGUAGUGACUUUAAAUCGAAAGGUUUAUUGACAGGUUCGAAGAGUUGUAAAAGCUCUGAACAGUAGCGGAAAGGAUGAAAGUCAUGCGAAAAAAAAAGAAGUGAACUUGAUCUAAUCUACAUGUGAGAUUUAACAGAGAUUACGGGGAAUCCAAAAAGAAUUGUAUUUGAAAGAUAAGAGAUGAAAAUUAAAAAAAAAGCAGAGAAAAUAAAAUAGAAGCGAACCAUUGAGAUUUUUCACUUCUUGGAAUUUUUUUUCUUCUGAAUCCAGUGUCAAAAGCAAUAUCACCAGGAUUUUUCUUUCAUUUUAAAUAUAAAAUUGGUUAGUAAAACUGAACCAGAGAAAAAUUGUGCUCACUAUACUAAUUUAGUACUACAUAAAACAAAAAAAAAAAAUUUUUUAAAUGUUUCUCGAAAAAAGAAAUUUCAAAUUUUCUUGUUAUAAAGUGUAAAUAAAAAUUUUUUGCAAAAAUAAUUUGCAGUAUUCAAAUUUUUUUGCAAAUAAUUACCACAUUUCUGAAAGAUUAAAAAUAUUUUAUUAAAUGAAAAAUUAAUUUUAAUGUAAUAUUUGUAAUAA